AGUGAACGUUGGCGGCGUGGAUUAGGCAUGCAAGUCGAGCGAGAACCGUAGCAAUACGGGGACAGCGGCGAACGGGACAGUAAUGUGUAGGUACCUACCCCUGGGUUCGGGAUAGCUGCGGGAAACUGCAGGUAAUACCGGAUAACGUCUGAGGACCAAAGGGGUGAUUCCACCUGGGGAGGGGCCUGCAUCCUAUUAGCUUGUUGGUGGGGUAACGGCUCACCAAGGCAACGAUGGGUAGCGGGUGUGAGAGCACGACCCGCGUCAUUGGGACUGAGAUACUGCCCAGACACCUACGGGUGGCUGCAGUCGAGGAUCUUCGGCAAUGGGGGCAACCCUGACCGAGCGACGCCGCGUGCGGGAUGAAGGCCUUCGGGUUGUAAACCACUGUCGUAGAGGAGGAAAUGCAGGGGGGUUCUCCCUUCUGUUUGACCUAUUCUAGGAGGAAGUACGGGCUAAGUUCGUGCCAGCAGCCGCCGUAA
rnacentral:rRNA from 1 species